CCNGUAGUGGGGAUACGUUCGGAAACGGACGCUAAUACCGCAUACGUCCUACGGGAGAAGGCAGGGACCUUCGGGCCUUGCGCUAUCAGAUGAGCCUAGGUCGGAUUAGCUAGUUGGUGAGGUAAUGGCUCACCAAGGCGACGAUCCGUAACUGGUCUGAGAGGAUGAUCAGUCACACUGGAACUGAGACACGGUCCAGACUCCUACGGGAGGCAGCAGUGGGGAAUAUUGGACAAUGGGCGAAAGCCUGAUCCAGCCAUGCCGCGUGUGUGAAGAAGGUCUUCGGAUUGUAAAGCACUUUAAGUUGGGAGGAAGGGCAGUUACCUAAUACGUGAUUGUUUUGACGUUACCGACAGAAUAAGCACCGGCUAACUCUGUGCCAGCAGCCGCGGUAAUACAGAGGGUGCAAGCGUUAAUCGGAAUUACUGGGCGUAAAGCGCGCGUAGGUGGUUUGUUAAGUUGGAUGUGAAAUCCCCGGGCUCAACCUGGGAACUGCAUUCAGAACUGACUGACUAGAGUAUGGUAGAGGGUGGUGGAAUUUCCUGUGUAGCGGUGAAAUGCGUAGAUAUAGGAAGGAACACCAGUGGCGAAGGCGACCACCUGGACUGAUACUGACACUGAGGUGCGAAAGCGUGGGGAGCAAAC
rnacentral:rRNA from 1 species